AUUGAACGCUGGCGGCAGGCCUAACACAUGCAAGUCGAGCGAGCGGAGGACGGGUGAGUAAUAUCUGGGAAAAUGCCAGAUGGAGGGGGAGAACUACUGGAAACAGUAGCUAAUACAUCAGACCAUCAGAGGUGCACAGAUGGGAGUAGCUAGUAGGUUGGGUAACGGCGCACCUAGGCGACGAUCCCUAGCUGGUCUGCGAGGAUGACCAGCCACACUGGAACUGAGACACGGUCCAGACUCCUACGGGAGGCAGCAGUGGGGAAUCUUGCACAAUGGGCGCAAGCCUGAUGCAGCCAUGCCGCGUGUGUGAAGAAGGCCUUCGGGUUGUAAAGCACUUUCAGCGGGGAGGCGUUACCCGAAGAAGAAGCCCCGGCUAACUCCGUGCCAGCAGCCGCGGUAAUUC
rnacentral:rRNA from 1 species